rnacentral:lncRNA from 1 species
CUCUACCAGAGGUUCUCAACUCUUUUACUCCCUGCUUCAUUUGGCAGUUCCUGGACCUUCCACAUUCUGAAGUGGGGUUCCUACCAAAGCAAUCACCACCUCGUAAAAGGUACAACAGCUGGUCUUUUUAUUGAAGGGAACAGCAAUACCAGCUCAAGAACGUCCCUUUGUUUCUCCCUAGAUGAGCAGGAAGCAUGUGGGGGGGUUGAAAGAAGGCAGAGAGAUCAAUAAAACCCUCCUGGCUGUAAAAAAAGGAGCUGUUUCCAGGGCAACAAGCGAGGAUGAAAUGUUACGGAUUUGAAGGAGACAGCAUUUGACUAAUACAAAGAAAGAGAGUCUGUGGAAUUUCGACAUGAGGGAACAUCUCAUGCUAGAGUUUCUCCAAGGAUGGCCAUCACUUCUUGGGAGCCCAGGUGGCCGGAGCCCAAGGCUGGGGAAGAGUGAAACUUUUUCAGUGAGGUGGGAGCUGGGGCCUCCUCCGUACUCCUCCUGGAGAAGACAGAAGAACUAGGUCGUGUGCAAAUUUUAAAUCCAGGCACAGGGGUAAGUGACCAUCCUCUCUUGUUGUUAUGGAAUCAUAAAGGAAUAGCAAGAACCAGCGUGUUCCAUCAUGGUCACAAGUGAGAAACUAGGCAACCUUCAGCUGUGAGUCUCCCUCAGUAGAGAACGUCUGUUAACUGUAGAGUGACCAUCUUCCUUAACUGCGU